UACAGAGGUCCCAAGCGUUGUUCGGAUUCAUUGGGCGUAAAGGGUGCGUAGGUGGCGCUGUAAGUCGGGUGUGAAAUUUCGGAGCUUAACUCCGAACUGCAUUCGAUACUGCGGUGCUCGAGGACUGGAGAGGAGACUGGAAUUCAUGGUGUAGCAGUGAAAUGCGUAGAGAUCAUGAGGAAGACCAGUGGCGAAGGCGGGUCUCUGGACAGUUCCUGACACUGAGGCACGAAGGCCAGGGGAGCAAACGGG
rnacentral:rRNA from 1 species